rnacentral:rRNA from 1 species
AGAGUUUGAUCCUGGCUCAGGAUGAACGCUGGCGGCGUGCUUAACACAUGCAAGUCGAACGAACCUUCGGGUUAGUGGCGGACGGGUGAGUAACGCGUGGGAAUCUGCCCUCAGGAGGGGGAUAACGGCUGGAAACGGCCGCUAAUACCCCAUAUGCCGAGAGGUGAAAUGAAUUUCGCCUGAGGAUGAGCCCGCGUCUGAUUAGCUAGUUGGUGAGGUAAGAGCUCACCAAGGCAUCGAUCAGUAGCUGGUCUGAGAGGAUGAUCAGCCACACUGGGACUGAGACACGGCCCAGACUCCUACGGGAGGCAGCAGUGGGGAAUUUUCCGCAAUGGGCGAAAGCCUGACGGAGCAACGCCGCGUGAGGGAUGAAGGCCUCUGGGCUGUAAACCUCUUUUCUCAAGGAAGAAGAUCUGACGGUACUUGAGGAAUAAGCCACGGCUAAUUCCGUGCCAGCAGCCGCGGUAAUACGGGAGUGGCAAGCGUUAUCCGGAAUUAUUGGGCGUAAAGCGUCCGCAGGCGGCCCUUCAAGUCUGCUGUUAAAAAGUGGAGCUUAACUCCAUCAUGGCAGUGGAAACUGUUGGGCUUGAGUGUGGUAGGGGCAGAGGGAAUUCCCGGU